AUACUUACCCAGCAGGACAGAUACCAUGAUCACGAAGGUGGUUUUCCCAGGGCGAGGCUUAUCCAUUGCACUCCCCAUCUGGCUCUGCUGUUUCCCUAAAUACAGGAAACUCGAUUGCAUAAUUUGUGAUGGUGGGGAACUCAUUUGCAUUCUCCCCU